rnacentral:lncRNA from 1 species
GGGGAGCUGGGCUGGAAGCUGGGAAGCUCGGCUCGGCGUUAGCUCGCUAGCAGGAAGGGGAGGGGCGGCGGGUUCCCGUCUGCUUUCUUUUUCGACUCGGGAAAGAACUGUAAAAACCCCCAGCCGCCGCUGCUUCGUCUCGCCUCUCCGGGGGCCGCUCGUUCCUGCUCGUGGAACGACGGCGUGUGCGUGCGCAGGGUGUGUGUGGCGGGCGCCCCGGGCCGAGCCGAGCUCGACCUGCUGCCGCCGCCGCCGCACAACACGGGAGGGGAGUCCCGGGUUUUUUUUUUUUUUUUUUUGGCUUGCUCCAAAGCGCGAAUCACGUGGAUUUAAAAAAAAAAUACUAGGAAAUCGAGGAGAGCGAGGGGUUCCGACUCGGCCCGUCCACCCGCCCGCCAGACUAGACGCUUGAAGAAAAGCUGCCAUCCAAGAAGACGACAUGCUUUCAGCAACCCCCCUGUAUGGGAACGUUCACAGCUGGAUGAACAGCGAGAGGGUCCGCAUGUGUGGAAUCAGUGACGACAGGUGAAUGCAUGGGUCUGGCUGAGGCCUGGGGAGCAUGCGGGUCCUUCCCUGGGGCUCCUAAGCAGAGCCCCCUUCACCUCCUCACAGCCAGAGUGGGCCCAAAGGGGGGUGGUGGGGGGAGAUCUCCUGCCUAGCUGGCAGCCUUGAUUUACAGUUUUAACAGGCAACCCGGCUCAGCGAAGCAUUGCCGCCCUUUAAGAGAUUAGCCCCUAAAGCGGCCUUUCAGUGCUCUUUCGUCCUUAAUUUAUUAUUUCAUAUUUAUGAAGGAGAAUUAAUCCCAGUCUAUAUGCUGCUUUAACUCUAAAUGUCAGGAGUGUGGGCCCAGGUGGAUCGGCAUUCGAUGUGCUUUUAAAACAAAUAGUUUGCUCAGUAAUAAAUGGGGCAAAAGCCACCCUUCA